UACGUAGGGGGCUAGCGUUGUCCGGAAUCAUUGGGCGUAAAGAGCGCGUAGGCGGCCAGAUAAGUCCGGUGUGAAAGUCAAAGGCUCAACCUUUGAAUGCCGCUGGAAACUGUCUGGCUAGAGUCCGGAAGGGGCGAGUGGAAUUCCUGGUGUAGCGGUGAAAUGCGCAGAUAUCAGGAGGAACACCAAUGGCGAAGGCAGCUCGCUGGAACGGUACUGACGCUGAGGCGCGAAAGCGUGGGGAGCAAACGGG
rnacentral:rRNA from 1 species